AUUUCGUGUCGGGACGCUAUCGUGGAGUGACGCAUUUAAAUUCUUCGUACGAUUAAUGCGAUUUUUGCACGUUUUAGUGAGAUAUUUGCAAAAGUAGCGCUUUAAUUAGUUAACUAACGGAUAAUGUUUAACGUAGAGUAGUAUUUUGACGCGCGUAACGCGAGUAAACACGGGAAAAGUGAACGAGAAUUGUUCGUUGCCGGGGUCUCGUUUGAAUCGUGUGUGAGAGGUCGCUGCUCAAGGGGAACGCUGUUCGAAAGGACGAGAUUAUUCACAAGCAUAAGCUGUUCGUGGAGGUUUUGGAUAAUUAGCGUGGGCGGCAUACCGGCUUAAGGAGAGGACGGACGUGUAGCCAGAGUGUCGUCGCCGCUUUCCAGGCAACCGCUUCCGGUAUUUAGGGAGCUCUUUGUUUUCACCCUUCAAAACAAACUGGAGGCUACACACCAUAACAGUUUCCAUUCCAUACUAAUUGCUGCGCGACGGAAAGCUGUUCUUCACGCGAAAUAUAAGAGACCUGGAAUUUGAAGUUCUACAGCGCUAAAAAGCUGGAUGUGUGUAUCUGCAGAUAUGGCAACAUCCCUCACGUGGCUCACCACGAUGUCCUUCGCCAUGUCCGUAGGACAGUCCAACACUACGUAUUUGUUGCUCCACCUGUGAAUUAUUCGAAUACUUUCAUCGUGUCUUUUUCGAAAAAGAAGCCGGGGGAAGGUUGGUUUGGUCGCGAACACACAUUAGCUCGAAUCGUUUUAACUCUUCUACGACAAUUUCAACCAUAAUGAAGAACGAUCGCGGUGAUGAAUCAACUGCAAUUACCGGCUUAUACGCGACACGCGGAAAUGGAUGGGGUCUGUUUACACGUCGGGACAACUGAAGGCGUAACAAUCCAUUGAUCGGUGUUGCACGAGCAAACGACUGUAGCCGAUUUUCUACGAUAUCUGGCAGAAAUGUUGGCCACUGGAGAACCGGAGAACGGAUGAAAUAAAAAUACAAGUGGCCACGUACCGGUUCGCAGAGUAUGAGGGGGUGAAACGAGGGCUGUAUAGGCUACGUUGUAAAAUGAGAAAUGCAUGAGAAAGCCAGGAGACUUACCAUCGUGGGAGUCGUAUAGGUAGAUGAUCUUCUUCCAGCCAUAGUAUCGUACCGUGUCGAUGAUGGCACGAUGAUAAUCCGGGCGCAUACUUAUGGCGAAAUCCAGGAGACCGGAGGACGGUGUCAGAACCUAUGGCAUCAGGAAACAGAUUUAUGCUGAUUUUUACCGAUUUUUGAAAGAAUACCAUCAAGAGGAGUCAAGAUUAUGUCUUCUUAGCUGUCACUGCAACGUGUGAUGAUAUAGGGACUGGUAAAACAAGCACCUGGGAUCUCUGGAACUCCUAAGGUCACUAUCGGGUAACCAGGGGAACGGGAAUCCUAUGGUGAGGGCCAGGAACCUGGAGAAGUCUAACAUACCCCGUGCAGUACAUAACUGUGGCGAUAGAUUUAAUCGGCAGCGUGCAGCAUGCGGCAUGCGUGUACGUCGCAUGCGAGACGCAGGACGUCGCUUUUUUGUUCCAUGGAUCAGCUUGGCUACCAUGACUUUGUGGCGAAUCGUAGCGAGUCGAUAGUUGAAUAUAAACUAUUUGUAUUUAUAAUGAAUAAACUGUAUUUCCUGUA